AAGAUGGCCGCCAGGUGCGGUGGCUAAGCCUGGGCACAUCUGAAGCCGGUGCCGACCAUCAGGGCCGAGUUGCGACGAGAGAGUGUUAUUAAGCCGAGUUGGCCAGGUCCCUAAGUCUUGGAUGGCGAGCUGUAGAUAGGCCUUGAGCCUGAGCCCAAGGAUCUCCACCUCUCAACCCCUGAACUCCACCUGCUCUGGUCGGGCCGGUAGGCGGCUUAUAGCCGAACCCCUUGCCUCGCACCUCAUUACUCUGCAGCCCUUUGCACUACCUCAUACACACCCUGCCCAUAAACUGAACUGUCACUACAAACUGCCAUAUCCACAACCCCAACCCUGGGACCCCAUUUUGAAAAUUCCUAGCGCCAACACUGCUGUCAACAGAGGAGAAAAAUGCUUUGAUUAAAUAAAUAUAUUAUUUAUAAAGCAAGUUCGAGUAUCAUUGGCAAAUUUUCACCUAGUCCCCGCCUUGGCACGCAUAUAUGUCCUCUUUUUGGGAUUUCAGAAUAUGGUCAGCCUAUUUAAUAAUUGUUUGUACAGUUAAAAGUUCUAUAUGAUAGCGACGUAUAUAUCUUUACUUCCACUCAUUUCUAAUGGGAAAACGGUUUCAUGUGUGGUCCGACCACAUGUUGACAUUCCAGAGGUAGAAUAGCUUGCAAGUGUUUGAAGUCCCUGCAGCACAUAAUCCAGGCCUGCAGGCCACCACACAGCGGGGCCGCUUGUAAACAAAUGUCAUUCUGCAGGAAUGUUCUACACACUGUAACUGAGUUAAAUAUGUACGGUGAGGGUUUUAUAGGUGCUUGCUCAUCUGAGAUUCACAGUGGUGGUUUGUAUCUGAAGCCACAAAAACUUCCUGCAGGUCGUUUUAU